UACGAAGGGGGCUAGCGUUGUUCGGAAUCACUGGGCGUAAAGGGCGCGUAGGCGGCUUUUCAAGCCGGGGGUGAAAGCCUGUGGCUCAACCACAGAAUUGCCUUCGAUACUGUUAGGCUUGAGACCGGAAGAGGUGAGUGGAACUGCGAGUGUAGAGGUGAAAUUCGUAGAUAUUCGCAAGAACACCAGUGGCGAAGGCGGCAUCCUGGACUGGUCCUGACACUCAGGAGCGAAAGCGUGGGGAGCGAUCCGG
rnacentral:rRNA from 1 species